AAUACCGCGUGAGGGAGGAAGGCUUUGGGGUUGUAAACCUCUUUUAUUCGGGAAGAAGAACUGACGGUACCGAAUGAAUCAGCAUCGGCUAACUCCGUGCCAGCAGCCGCGGUAAUACGGAGGAUGCAAGCGUUAUCCGGAUUUAUUGGGCGUAAAGCGUCCGCAGGUGGUUUAUCAAGUCUGCUGUCAAAGCGCGGAGCUUAACUCCGUAAGGGCGGUGGAAACUGGUAGACUAGAGUCUGGUAGGGGUCACGGGAAUUCCCAGUGUAGCGGUGAAAUGCGUAGAUAUCGGGAAGAACACCAGUGGCGAAGGCGCUCUGCUGGGCCAUCACUGACACUCAUGGACGAAAGCCAGGGGAGCGAAAGGGAUUAGAUACCCCUGUA
rnacentral:rRNA from 1 species